CGUAGGCAGCAAGCGUUGUUCGGAGUUACUGGGCGUAAAGAGUGCGUAGGCGGUGCCCUAAGUCUGUUGUGAAAUCUCCCGGCUUAACUGGGAGGGUGCGGUGGAGACUGGGGUGCUUGAGUGUGGGAGAGGUAAGCGGAAUUCCUGGUGUAGCGGUGAAAUGCGUAGAUAUCAGGAGGAACACCGGUGGUGUAGACGGCUUACUGGACCACGACUGACGCUGAGACACGAAAGCGUGGGUAGCAAACAGGAUUAGAUACCCUGGUAGUCCACGCCCUAAACGAUGCACACUUGGUGUGAGCCAUUCAUUUGGUUCGUGCCGGAGCUAACGCGUUAAGUGUGCCGCCUGGGGAGUACGGUCGCAAGGCUG
rnacentral:rRNA from 1 species